AGAUUGAACGCUGGCGGCAGGCCUAACACAUGCAAGUCGAGCGGUAGAGAGAAGCUUGCUUCUCUUGAGAGCGGCGGACGGGUGAGUAAUGCCUAGGAAUCUGCCUGGUAGUGGGGGAUAACGUUCGGAAACGGACGCUAAUACCGCAUACGUCCUACGGGAGAAAGCAGGGGACCUUCGGGCCUUGCGCUAUCAGAUGAGCCUAGGUCGGAUUAGCUAGUUGGUGAGGUAAUGGCUCACCAAGGCGACGAUCCGUAACUGGUCUGAGAGGAUGAUCAGUCACACUGGAACUGAGACACGGUCCAGACUCCUACGGGAGGCAGCAGUGGGGAAUAUUGGACAAUGGGCGAAAGCCUGAUCCAGCCAUGCCGCGUGUGUGAAGAAGGUCUUCGGAUUGUAAAGCACUUUAAGUUGGGAGGAAGGGUUGUAGAUUAAUACUCUGCAAUUUUGACGUUACCGACAGAAUAAGCACCGGCUAACUCUGUGCCAGCAGCCGCGGUAAUACAGAGGGUGCAAGCGUUAAUCGGAAUUACUGGGCGUAAAGCGCGCGUAGGUGGUUUGUUAAGUUGGAUGUGAAAUCCCCGGGCUCAACCUGGGAACUGCAUUCAAAACUGACUGACUAGAGUAUGGUAGAGGGUGGUGGAAUUUCCUGUGUAGCGGUGAAAUGCGUAGAUAUAGGAAGGAACACCAGUGGCGAAGGCGACCACCUGGACUAAUACUGACACUGAGGUGCGAAAGCGUGGGGAGCAAACAGGAUUAGAUACCCUGGUAGUCCACGCCGUAAACGAUGUCAACUAGCCGUUGGAAGCCUUGAGCUUUUAGUGGCGCAGCUAACGCAUUAAG
rnacentral:rRNA from 1 species